rnacentral:rRNA from 1 species
AUCAACUUUCGAUGGUAGGAUAGAGGCCUACCAUGGUGGUAACGGGUAACGGGGUGUUAGGGCACGACACCGGAGAGGGAGCCUGAGAAACGGCUACCACAUCCAAGGAUGGCAGCAGGCGCGCAAAUUACCCAAUCCCGACACGGGGAGGUAGUGACAAUAAAUAACAAUACGGGGUUCUUUCGGAUUUCGUAAUUGGAAUGAGUACAAUUUAAAUCUCUUAACGAGGAACAAUUGGAGGGCAAGUCUGGUGCCAGCAGCCGCGGUAACUCCAGCUCCAAUAGCGUAUAUUAAAGUUGCUGCAGUUAAAAAGCUCGUAGUUGAAUUUCGGGACCAAUAUGUCGGUCGUGCCUCGGUACGUACUGGCAUCGUUGGUUUCUCCCUUCUGACGAACCAUGAUGUCAUUCAUUUGGUGUCGUGGGGAAUCAGGACUGUUACUUUGAAAAAAUUAGAGUGUUUAAAGCAGGCUCACGCUUGAAUACAUUAGCAUGGAAUAAUGAAAUAGGACGUUUGAUUCUAUUUUGUUGGUUUCUAGGAUCGACGUAAUGAUUAAUAGGGAUAGUUGGGGGCAUUAGUAUUCAAUUGUCAGAGGUGAAAUUCUUGGAUUUAUUGAAGACUAACUACUGCGAAAGCAUUUGCCAAGGAUGUUUUCAUUAAUCAAGAACGAAAGUUAGGGGAUCGAAGACGAUCAGAUACCGUCGUAGUCUUAACCAUAAACUAUGCCGACUAGGGAUCGGAUGAUGUUAAUUUUUUAAUGACUCAUUCGGCGCCUUACGGGAAACCAAAGUGUUUGGGUUC